AUGGAGCCCAGAGGGCAAGGCUGGCAUACGCCAGGCUAUCAGUACCAGUCUAGUAACAGAGAUGACAACUACAGAUCCUCCCACCAAACACCGUAUUACCACCCACCUACAGACCCGAGAGGGAGAGAAAGACAGUGGCCUCAUGUGGAUCCUCGCUAUGGAAGCUACAUGGCCAGUCCUCCUCCUAAACCAGAGUAUAUUCCUGGAUAUAGUAGUGCUUAUGCAUCUAACCAACCAUUACACUUCAGACCUCAUUCCAGGCAGGAAUAUGACUACCCCGCAUCCAACUACUGGCCCUACAGAGAAGACUACGGGUCCUACAGAGAAGACUACGGGUAUUAUGAUUAUCAUGGUUAUCACAGAUCACAAUACAGCUCCCCAGAUGGUGGUGGCUGGAGAACAGAGGGGUAUCAGGGCAGAGGACUGCAGCAGGAGUCAGCAAGAGCCUCGUACUUCGAUCAGCAGGGGUCUGUUAAUGGCAUACGCUCAUACAUUAUAUGCUCUGUCAUGCCUGAAAUGUGUUCGCAGAACAAUCAAAUCAUUUCAUAUCAAGUGACCUUACACAUUUAUUUAACAGCUAUAGCCAUAGAACAGACAGUCAUUAUGACCAUGGAGUCUCAGAGAGACAGCACAGAGAAAGUAUGGAAAAUGGAGAUGGAACUGGAGAGGUUUGUUUCCAGAAAUUACUUUUCGUAA
rnacentral:lncRNA from 12 species